UACGUAGGGGGCAAGCGUUGUCCGGAUUUAUUGGGCGUAAAGAGCGUGUAGGCGGUUCGGUAGGUCCGUUGUGAAAACUCGAGGCUCAACCUCGAGACGCCGAUGGAAACCAUCGAACUAGAGUCCGGAAGAGGAGAGUGGAAUUCCUGGUGUAGCGGUGAAAUGCGCAGAUAUCAGGAAGAACACCGGUGGCGAAGGCGGGACUCUGGGCCGAUACUGACGCUGAGGAGCGAAAGCGUGGGGAGCAAACAGG
rnacentral:rRNA from 1 species